AGUACAGAUAAAAAGGAAGGCUUGAUCAGGAUAUGGUGGAUCUGAAGAUUCAAAGAAGUGCCGUGGCUCAAAAGUAGACAUUUUGGUAAAUGUGAAGAAGUGAGAUUCAAUGAAGAUGAUAAGAAAUGAAAGGUGUUACCAAAAGUGGGAAACCCCCCCGGGAAGAUGAAGCUCCCUGGAAGAGGCUUCUUGGACAUGACCAUCUCCAGGAACCAGCGGGCAACCUUCAUGUGUGUGUGACCAGACCUCCAGCUAUAAGCAUGGCAUGCAGUACAGAAGAGCCUGCUAUGAAACUGAAAUUGAUUGGACAUUUUAUAGGAAUUGAUAGAGAUGAUGGUCUUCAAAAGCUUUAAAUCUGUGAUCUGCAAAAUAAAAUGUGUUGGAAACCUCUGGACAAAA